GAUGAACGCUGGCGGCGUGCCUAAUACAUGCAAGUCGAACGCAUUGUGGUUGAAAUGAUAUGAAGAACUUGUUCAGAUUUGAUUUUCAACAUUGCAAUGAGUGGCGAACGGGUGAGUAACACGUGGGAAACCUACCUCUUAGCAGGGAUAACAUUUGGAAACAAAUGCUAAUACCGUAUAAUAAUUAAAAACCGCAUGGUUUUAGUUUAAAAGAUGGUCUUGCUAUCACUAAGAGAUGGUCCCGCGGUGUAUUAGUUAGUUGGUGAGGUAAUGGCUCACCAAGACAAUGAUACAUAGCCGAGUUGAGAGACUGACCGGCCACAAUGGGACUGAGACACGGUCCCAUACUCCUACGGGA
rnacentral:rRNA from 1 species